rnacentral:tRNA from 1 species
GGAGAGAUGGCCGAGUGGUUUAAGGCAGCAGUCUUGAAAACUGCCGUAGGUGCAAGCCUGCCGUGGGUUCGAAUCCCACUCUCUCCGCCA